UGGGGGGGUGCCUAAUACAUGCAAGUCGAGCGAAUGGAUUAAGAGCUUGCUCUUAUGAAGUUAGCGGCGGACGGGUGAGUAACACGUGGGUAACCUGCCCAUAAGACUGGGAUAACUCCGGGAAACCGGGGCUAAUACCGGAUAACAUUUUGAACCGCAUGGUUCGAAAUUGAAAGGCGGCUUCGGCUGUCACUUAUGGAUGGACCCGCGUCGCAUUAGCUAGUUGGUGAGGUAACGGCUCACCAAGGCAACGAUGCGUAGCCGACCUGAGAGGGUGAUCGGCCACACUGGGACUGAGACACGGCCCAGACUCCUACGGGAGGCAGCAGUAGGGAAUCUUCCGCAAUGGACGAAAGUCUGACGGAGCAACGCCGCGUGAGUGAUGAAGGCUUUCGGGUCGUAAAACUCUGUUGUUAGGGAAGAACAAGUGCUAGUUGAAUAAGCUGGCACCUUGACGGUACCUAACCAGAAAGCCACGGCUAACUACGUGCCAGCAGCCGCGGUAAUACGUAGGUGGCAAGCGUUAUCCGGAAUUAUUGGGCGUAAAGCGCGCGCAGGUGGUUUCUUAAGUCUGAUGUGAAAGCCCACGGCUCAACCGUGGAGGGUCAUUGGAAACUGGGAGACUU
rnacentral:rRNA from 1 species